AGCGAACGCUGGCGGCAGGCCUAACACAUGCAAGUCGAACGAAGUCUUCGGACUUAGUGGCGGUCGGGUGAGUAACACGUGGGAACGUACCUUUUGGUACGGAACAACUCAGGGAAACUUGAGCUAAUAACGGAUGAGCCCUUAGGGGGAAAGAUUUAUCGCCGAAAGAGCGGCCCGCGUUAGAUUAGCUAGUUGGUGAGGUAAAGGCUCACCAAGGCUACGAUCUAUAGCUGGUCUGAGAGGAUGAUCAGCCACACUGGGACUGAGACGCGGCCCAGACUCCUACGGGAGGCAGCAGUGGGGAAUCUUGCGCGAUGGGCGAAAGCCUGACGCAGCCAUGCCGCGUGAAUGAUGAAGGUCUUAGGAUUGUAAAAUUCUUUUACCAGGGACGAUAAUGACGGUACCUGGAGAAAAAGCCCCGGCUAACUUCGUGCCAGCCGCCGCUGUAAAAC
rnacentral:rRNA from 1 species